rnacentral:rRNA from 1 species
AUACGGAGGAUCCAAGCGUUAUCCGGAAUCAUUGGGUUUAAAGGGUCCGUAGGCGGAUAGAUUAGUCAGCGGUGAAAGUUUGUGGCUUAACCAUAAAAUUGCCGUUGAUACUGUCUAUCUUGAAUAAGUGUGAAGUGGUUAGAAUGAGUAGUGUAGCGGUGAAAUGCAUAGAUAUUACUCGGAAUACCAAUUGCGAAGGCAGAUCACUAACACUUUAUUGACGCUGAGGGACGAAAGCGUGGGGAGCAAACAGGAUUAGAUACCCUGGUAGUCCACGCCGUAAACGAUGGAUACUAGUUGCUCGAGCUACAUUGGUAGUUUGAGUGACUAAGCGAAAGUGAUAAGUAUCCCACCUGGGGAGUACGUUCGCAAGAAUGAA